rnacentral:lncRNA from 1 species
ACAACUCUAAAACAUAAAUAAGUCAUACGAGCAUCAUAAUACAAGCCAGGGGCCUCGAGGGCUCGAAUACAAGUGCUCGAUCAUAGACGAGUCAGCGGAAGCAACAAUAUAUGAGUACAGACAUAAGUUAAACAAGUUGCCAUAAGAUGGCUAGCACAAACUGGGUUACAGAUCGAAAGAGGCGCAGGCCUCCUUCCUGGGAUCCUCCUAACUACUCUUGGUCCUCGUCAGCGGGCUGCAUGUAGUAGUAGGCACCUCUGGUGUAGUAGGAGUCGUCGUCGACAGUGGCGUCUGGCUCCUGGACUCCAUAGUCUGGUCGCAACAAUCGGGUAGAGAAAUGGAAAAAAGGGGGAACAAGGCAACCGUGAGUACUCAUCCAAAGUACUCGCAAGCAAGGAACUACACUACAUAUGCAUGGGUAUAUGUGUAAAGGGGCAUAUCGGUGGACUGAACUGCAGAAUGCCAGAAUAAGAGGGGGAUAGCUAAUCCCGUCGAAGACUACGCUUCUGGCAGCCUCCGUCUUGCAGCAUGUAGAAGAGAGUAGACUGAAGUCCUCCAAGUAGCAUCGCAUAGCAUAAUCCUACCCGGAGAUCCUCUCCUCGUCGCCCUGUUAGAGAGCGAUCACCGGUUGUAUCUGGCACUUGGAAGGGUGUGUUUUAUUAAGUAUCCGGUUCUAGUUGUCAUAAGGUCAAGGUACAACUCCAAGUCAUCCUAUUACCGAAGAUCACGGCUAUUCGAAUAGAUUAACUUCCCUGCAGGGGUGCACCACAUAACCCAACACGCUCGAUCCCAUUUGGCCGGACACACUUUCCUGGGUCAUGCCCGGCCUCGAAAGAUCAACACGUCGCAGCCCUACCUAGGCACAACAGAGAGGUCAGCACGCCGGUCUAAAUCCUAUGGCGCAGGGGUCUGGGCCCAUCGCCCAUUGCACACCUGCACGUUGCGAGGGCGGCCGGAAGUAGACCUAGCCUAGCAGACGUUCCAGUCCAAUCCGGCGCGCGCCACUCAGUCGCUGACGUCACGAAGGCUUUGGCUGAUACCACGACGUCGAGUGCCCAUAACUGUCCCCGCGUAGAUGGUUAGUGCGUAUAGGCCAGUGGCCAGACUCAGAUCAAAUACCAAGAUCUCGUUAAACGUGUUAUCUUGAAAUAACCGCGAACGCCGACCAGGGCCAGGCCCACCUCUCUCCUAGGUGGUCUCAACCUACCAUGUCGCUUCGCCACAAAGAUCCACACAGAGGGCCGUUGGGACAAAGGUCCUUUCAGCCCCAAUCCGUGAAUCACUCGCGAGUGCUCCACGAGCCGACCCGACUUUAGUCACCACAUGUAUCAUGUAUAAAGUAUAUAGUAUAUACCCUUGAUCACCUCCCGAGUGAUCACGGCCCGAUAGUAUAGCAUGGCAUACGGACAAUAAUGUAGGGCCACUGAUGAUAAACUAGCAUCCUAUACUAAGCAUUAGGAUUGCAGGUAAAGGUAACAACAGUAGUAGCAAGGACAGGCUAUGCAUCAGGAUAGGAUUAACGGAAAGCAGUAACAUGCUACACUACACUAAUGCAAGCAGUAUAGAGGAGAGUAGGCGAUAUCUGGUGAUCAAGGGGGGCUUGCCUGGUUGCUCUGGCAAGAGAGAGGGGUCGUCAACACCGUAGUCGUACUGGGUAGCAGCGGCGUCGGUCUCAGUGUCUAACGAGAGAAGAGGGGGAAGAAACAAUAAAUAUUAAACAAACAGAUGCAUGACGAUGCCUCACAUGACAAAGCGUGAUGCUAGGUGUGCCCUAACGCGGUAUGAGGUGGUACCGAUGAAGGGGGCAAACAUCCGGAAAAAUAUCCCCGGUGUUUCGUGUUUCUGGACAAAUGAACCGAAGGGGGAAAGUUGCGUGUUCGCUAUGCUAGGGAUGCGUGGCGGACGAACGGGCUGCGUAUCCAGAUUCGUCUCGUCGUUCUGAGCAACUUUCAUGUACAAAGUAUUUCCAUCGGAGUUACGGAUUAUUUUAUAUUAAUUUUCAAAGUUUUAUUGAAUUUCUAGGGUUAUUUAAUUCUGAAAUAAUAAUAGAAUACUUUUGUCACCUAGCUCUAGUCUAGAUAGAGUGCAUGACAGGUGGGGUCCACGGGGGUCCAAUCAACUGUUGACCAGUCAACAGUUGACUGGUCAACUGGGUCAUGGGUCCUAGAUGUCAUUGACACAGACUUUUAAUUAGGCUUAAAAACAUAAGAUAGGCCCACCUGAUAUAAACUGCAUCUAAAGCAAAUCAGUCAAAUUAGUUAAUUUAAAGGGAUUAGGACUAAUGGAGAUUAGCUCCUAAUCUCAACAGGGGGCCGACCCAGGUCGUAGUGGCCUAGGACGCCACACACACGAACAUGCACAACACACACCUACAGCACACGGACGCACAAGCACUCGGCCAUGGCCACAGCCACAGCCGAGGCGAGCGCGGGACAGCAUCGGCGAAUGCUGGCUUGCACCGGUAGCAGUGGGCGCUAGUAGGUGGCGGCAGCAGCAGGUAGCGAUAGCAACAACAUAGUAGCGACGCCGCAAGCAGUAGGCCGGGACACGGGCGCGCACGCACACACUAUGUAGGGACAUCGACAGCUGAAGCCAACAGCCCCAGCCGCAUGCAGCAGCGCGACACCAGGGAGGCGGGUGUGCUCGCACGCCCGGGGCGCGGCAGCGCGCGGUGUGAGCGCUGGACAAGCGGCAGCGUGGGGUGCAGGCAGCACCGUAGCACGCAGCGGUAGUAGCCGGAGCAGGGGAACGGGCAGCAGCGAGCGGCGAGCGGGGCAGCGGAGUGACAAUAGGCAGCAACCGUAGCGUGGUAGAGUAGAGGCAAGAAGCAGAGCAGCAGAGCAACUGAAGGAGCAGCUGGCGUGCGUGCGCGGACACUGAGGUUCGGCCAUGGCGGCCACCGGCUUGUACAAGCGGCUAUGGUAACGAAUCGAGACCGGGGUGAUGGGGAUUCGGGGGAGGAGCUCACCACGAGCUCGAUGACGAGGUCGGGGAAGCCGGAGACGGACCAGAGCGGCGGCAAUCGACGACGAACGAUGGUGAUGUAUGCGACGGAAAAGAGCUUGAUGGCGAGUGUAUGAUGCGGUCCUCCCCGAUUUGAUACCCGGGAUGGACGAAGUCGACGAUGGUGGUCAUUCUGGACAUCUUCUCAGGCGACGGGAAGCACGAUGGCCGCGGCAACGAUGACGGCCAUGACGAGCACGGCUCGGGCGAGAUCUAAAUUGAGAAAGACAGAGAAGGAGUGGAAGAAUGGGGAUUAGGGUUUGUCACAGCGACGGGGGGCUCUUAUCCUGCUCGGGUUGUCGUGGAUGCUCGACACGAGCUAAUCG